UGCAAGUCGAACGGCAGCACGGACUUCGGUCUGGUGGCGAGUGGCGAACGGGUGAGUAAUGUAUCGGAACGUGCCCAGUAGCGGGGGAUAACUACGCGAAAGCGUAGCUAAUACCGCAUACGCCCUACGGGGGAAAGCAGGGGAUCGCAAGACCUUGCACUAUUGGAGCGGCCGAUAUCGGAUUAGCUAGUUGGUGGGGUAACGGCUCACCAAGGCGACGAUCCGUAGCUGGUUUGAGAGGACGACCAGCCACACUGGGACUGAGACACGGCCCAGACUCCUACGGGAGGCAGCAGUGGGGAAUUUUGGACAAUGGGGGAAACCCUGAUCCAGCCAUCCCGCGUGUGCGAUGAAGGCCUUCGGGUUGUAAAGCACUUUUGGCAGGAAAGAAACGUCGUGGGUUAAUACCCCGCGAAACUGACGGUACCUGCAGAAUAAGCACCGGCUAACUACGUGCCAGCAGCCGCGGUAAU
rnacentral:rRNA from 1 species